rnacentral:lncRNA from 1 species
AGAAGCAAAGUGGAGUGGGUGUGUGUAUGAGAGUGAGUUGAAUAUGUAUAUAGGCUAGGGAUACCUGUAUGUCUCUGGGAUAGUAAGGGGUUUGGAAUCACACUCGUGGAAGAUCAAACCUCUGGCCUACUAUUUAAUAGAUAUGGACCUUGAUCAAGUUCUUCUGUGAGCCUCAAGUUCCUUAUGUAUAAAAUGAGAUUAGUACUACCUACCUCUUGGAGUUCUUUAAGGAUUUAAUGAAAUUAUGACAUAGAAAACACCUAGAACUCAGAAGGCACUCAGUAAGUAUUAGUAGGAUUUUUUGUUUGUUCAUUCUUGUGAGGAAGGGAGAUAUUAAAGGUGCAAGAGAGGGAAAGGAUGAUGCCUAUGAUGUCAGAGAAAAGAGAUGAGUAGACAUGGGAUUUGAGUAGAGGUAGAGGAGUAGUUUCAAAGUGAGAUUGGACCUAUUUUCCUGGGUAAUAGAAGGGAAGGACAGUGAUAAAAUGAGGCAUUGGAUUAGAAACUCCAGGCACAUCAGAGGCCCCUCAGGAAAUGUUUGCUACAUAUGAAUAACGUACACGAAAGCACUUGUGUGGCACUGUACAAAUAUAACUUAUUAAUAUAAGCCACAGUGAUGCUUGACCAAGAAAAGACUUUUUAUAAUACUGUAUGCUAGGUUGAACCAUAUGAGAUUCUAUUUUAAUAGACCCAAAAUGGCAACUUCAUAUGGUUCAACCCAAUAUUUUACAUUGUUUGAUCAUCUGUUUCCUGGUUACAAUGAAAAAAAAAUGUGAGGG